rnacentral:rRNA from 1 species
AACGAACGCUGGCGGCAGGCCUAACACAUGCAAGUCGAACGCCCCGCAAGGGGAGUGGCAGACGGGUGAGUAACGCGUGGGAACAUACCCUUUUCUACGGAAUAGCUCUGGGAAACUGGAAUUCAUACCGUAUACGCCCUACGGGGGAAAGAUUUAUCGGGGAAGGAUUGGCCCGCGUUGGAUUAGCUAGGUGGUGGGGUAAAGGCCUACCAAGGCGACGAUCCAUAGCUGGUCUGAGAGGAUGAUCAGCCACAUUGGGACUGAGACACGGCCCAGACUCCUACGGGAGGCAGCAGUGGGGAAUAUUGGACAAUGGGCGCAAGCCUGAUCCAGCCAGGCCGCGUGAGUGAUGAAGGCCUUAGGGUUGUAAAGCUCUUUCACCGAUGAAGAUAAUGACGGUAGUCGGAGAAGAAGCCCCGGCUAACUUCGUG